UGACAGGAGCUGUGAUAAAACUGCUUCAUUAAAGUUUUCCAGCAGCGUAAAUGUGGUGUUUGAAUGUGCGCCACAGCACUGGGACCAUCCAUAUUCCGUGGGAGUUGUCUAAGUUGCUCACUGCUGUAUCUGGAAACAGUUUAUAAGAGAAAUUGCUAUGGACCCCAAGUUGCACUGAUUACUGAAGAUCUUAACAGUAGAAUAAAUACUUACAAGUACAGCUGUGAUAUAUGGCAGUGAAGAGCACAGAUCUUUUAUUUUCUGUACAAAACAGCUUCCCAUCUCUAGGUUUACAGUAGCACCCUUGUCAAACAGGUUCAGAUGUUAGGUUAGAGGAUGCUUUAUUCAGAGAGUCCGCUUAAGAGGUGAAAGCUGCAGGUGCAAGAGAAAAUGUGUAACUCAGUGUUAGAAAACAAGUGGAUUAAGGUUACUGCUUAGAACAACCACUUAAAGAUGAUUUUUUCCCUAAUUGUAACAUUUUCUCUUCUCUUCAAAGGCUCCUUUGUAUCUUGCCUUUCUCUGGGGUAUAAUGAUGAAAGUCCUUCCAAUAGAGGACUGCUCCCUUUGGAGUGGAGUAUGGAACCUCCCAGCACUCUGGUGUUAAAUUCUCUGUCAGUGCCUGAGAACUUCUGCUAAAGGUACUAACUAAUGCAUGUGACUCAGCUCUGCUAUCAAAGAAACUUCAGUUUUCCAAAAAGCAGGAACAGCAUUUAAGGUUUAUUCCCUCUAGGAGUUAUUUCCUUUGUGCUUUCAUGCACAAACUGGCACCAUUUCUGCACAGUAAAGCAAACUUUUACUUUCAAAACCUUCCCAAAUGACCCUGUUGUGUAGCUGAACUGAUCAGCCAGUGGUUCCACUGAGGCACACUGGGGAAGAAGAGAAAACGAAAAAACAUAGGUGCUGGCAAUGAAUGAUUCUGUAUCUUCAUCUGUAAUGUUUUCAUUGGGUGACUCGUACUCUAUGCAGGGGUGUUUUUCCAGGGGGAAGAAACAGAUCCAGGUGAAAUCUGCAGAGAGUAUUUGAAAUUAUAUAAAUAAAAGGAAAACACAUCUCUUC